UGGGGAAUAUUGGGCAAUGGGCGAAAGCCUGACCCAGCAACGCCGCGUGGAGGAAGAAGGUUUUCGGAUCGUAAACUCCUGUCCUCAGGGAAGAGAAGGAGACGGUACCUGAGGAGGAAGCCCCGGCUAACUACGUGCCAGCAGCCGCGGUAAUACGUAGGGGGCAAGCGUUAUCCGGAAUUAUUGGGCGUAAAGAGUGCGUAGGUGGUUACCUAAGCAGGGGGUGAAAGGCAAUGGCUUAACCAUUGUUAGCCCCCUGAACUGGGCUACUUGAGUGCAGGAGAGGAAAGCGGAAUUCCUAGUGUAGCGGUGAAAUGCGUAGAUAUUAGGAGGAACACCAGUGGCGAAGGCGGCUUUCUGGACUGUUACUGACACUGAGGCACGAAAGUGUGGGGAGCAAACAGGAUUAGAUACCCUGGUAGU
rnacentral:rRNA from 1 species